UAAUCACGCUGAGGAUCACACCAUACCAUGCCAUAUCACACGAUUAAUCUUAUACGCUUUUAAAAAACGUAUAUAAACAAACGCUUACCUGCCCAAUCGUCAUAACACAAUUUCGUACAAGUCAAUUGUUUGAUUUCAAUUUCUAUCCCCACAAAAACCAACCAAAAUCAAAAAUGGGCGCAGAAAAAGUAUCCAUGAGCAUCGUCGUCGUCGGACAAGUCCAGUCUGCCAAGGCCACCAAGACCGUCACCAAGGCCACACCAGCCACCAGCCAACUCAUGAACUGUUAAAUCAUGUAGUCCGUCCAUCUCAAACACAAAAAUGCCAUAACCUAAACAAAAUAUGUAUUUAUAGUAUUAUAUUUUGACAUAAUCAAAUAAAUCAGUAUAUUCCAAUAUUAAA